GAUGAACGCUGGCGGCGUGCCUAAUACAUGCAAGUCGAGCGAACAGACGAGGAGCUUGCUCCUCUGACGUUAGCGGCGGACGGGUGAGUAACACGUGGAUAACCUACCUAUAAGACUGGGAUAACUUCGGGAAACCGGAGCUAAUACCGGAUAAUAUAUUGAACCGCAUGGUUCAAUAGUGAAAGACGGUUUUGCUGUCCCUUAUAGAUGGAUCCGCGCCGCAUUAGCUAGUUGGUAAGGUAACGGCUUACCAAGGCGACGAUGCGUAGCCGACCUGAGAGGGUGAUCGGCCACACUGGAACUGAGACACGGUCCAGACGCCUACGGGAGGCAGCAGUAGGGAAUCUUCCGCAAUGGGCGAAAGCCUGACGGAGCAACGCCGCGUGAGUGAUGAAGGUCUUCGGAUCGUAAAACUCUGUUAUUAGGGAAGAACAAAUGUGUAAGUAACUAUGCACGUCUUGACGGUACCUAAUCAGAAAGCCACGGCUAACUACGUG
rnacentral:rRNA from 1 species